rnacentral:rRNA from 1 species
UACAGAGGUCCCAAGCGUUGUUCGGAUUCACUGGGCGUAAAGGGUGCGUAGGCGGUCGGGUAAGUCUGAUGUGAAAUCUCACAGCUUAACUGUGAAACUGCAUUGGAUACUAUUCGGCUUGAGAGUUGGAGGGGGGACUGGAAUUCUCGGUGUAGCAGUGAAAUGCGUAGAUAUCGAGAGGAACACCAGUGGCGAAGGCGAGUCCCUGGACAACACCUGACACUGAGGCACGAAAGCUAGGGGAGCAAACAGG